rnacentral:rRNA from 1 species
UACGGGGGGGGCAAGCGUUGUUCGGAAUUACUGGGCGUAAAGGGCUCGUAGGCGGCCAACUAAGUCCGACGUGAAAUCCCAAGGCUUAACCUUGGAACUGCGUCGGAUACUGGAUGGCUUGAAUUCGGGAGAGGGAUGCAGAAUUCCAGGUGUAGCGGUGAAAUGCGUAGAUAUCUGGAGGAACACCGGUGGCGAAGGCGGCAUCCUGGACCGGCAUUGACGCUGAGGAGCGAAAGCCAGGGGAGCAAACGGG